UACGUAGGGGGCUAGCGUUGUCCGGAUUUAUUGGGCGUAAAGAGCGUGUAGGCGGCCAGGUAGGUCUGCUGUGAAAACUCGAGGCUCAACCUCGGGACGUCGGCGGAAACCAUCUGGCUAGAGUCCGGAAGGGGAGAGUGGAAUUCCUGGUGUAGCGGUGAAAUGCGCAGAUAUCAGGAAGAACACCCGUGGCGAAGGCGGCUCUCUGGGACGGUACUGACGCUGAGACGCGAAAGCGUGGGGAGCGAACAGG
rnacentral:rRNA from 1 species